UAUAGAUGACGCUGUUGAUUUUUUCUUAUAUGUUUGACCAUUCGUCUUAUUCAAAAAAUUUACGUAAUUAUAAUUUAUUUUAUUAUGAGUUAUUUUAUUACAGAUACUACUUUAAAUGUGAUUUAUACUUAUACAUUUGCAUAAAAUUUUUGAAUAAGACGAAUGGUCAAACAGGCGAGAAAAAGUCAACGGCAUCGUCUAUU
rnacentral:pre_miRNA from 1 species